CACGUAGGCACCAAGCGUUAUCCGGAUUUAUUGGGCGUAAAGAGCUCGUAGGCGGUUCGGUAAGUCGGGUGUGAAAACUCUGGGCUCAACCCAGAGAGGCCACCCGAUACUGCUGUGACUAGAGUGCGGUAGGGGAGCGGGGAAUUCCUGGUGUAGCGGUGAAAUGCGCAGAUAUCAGGAGGAACACCAGCGGCGAAGGCGCCGCUCUGGGCCGUAACUGACGCUGAGGAGCGAAAGCAUGGGUAGCAAAGCAGG
rnacentral:rRNA from 1 species